rnacentral:lncRNA from 1 species
CCUCACUGACAGCUUCGGCCGCAUCAAGCGCAGCAUGAGCUCCACGUCUGCGUCUGCCGUGCGCAGUUAUGACGGGGCGGCCCAGAGGCCGGAGGAGCAGACCUUCCACCAGCUGCUGACUGACAUCACGCAUGACAUCGAGGCACUGGCCCCGGACGAUGACGACGUCUACGAGGAUGUCUCCCCAAGCGGGGGCGACCAGGUUGAAGACAACUACCUGUAGCUCCGCGGCACACUUGCCCGUAUGACACCAUCCCCAGGGUUCCUAGACUCCUGGGUUCCCAUCCGUGCCUUGGGGCUUCUUUUCCCUGCAAAUGGGUUCACAGGGCUUCAGUCCUUGCAAUACCAAGAAAAUCCUGUAGAGGGCGGGAGAGCCAGACUCUAGAGUGUUCUUCAAGCUAAAGAAUCGCUCCACCUACUGGCCGACAGAAAAGAUAUCUAAUUCACGCCCCACUUUCUGCAACCCUGCCCAACCCCAAACCAGAAACAUUUCCAGAACCUAGAGACCUCUCUUCAAUUUUACAGGCUGAGAGACUGAAGAGACAUGGGGGGGUGUGUUUGUUUGUUUGUUUUUAAGGGAAUGGAAAUAUGAGACAACGCCAGGUCCUUGGAUAUCGACACUCAUCUCCACAUCUCUAGGAUAAUUUCAGCUCCACCCAGCUCACAAGUGGUCAUCGGGAUGAAUGGAGGGCAAGACAUUAGGGUUGGGCCUGGCAUGCUGUAGGUGCUCAAUAAAUGCUGUUUCUCUCCACUUGG